AUGAUGCCCUGGUUGAGGUAUUGUUAGAGUAUUUACUCUCUAUUGUGUAUGAUGCCCUGGUUGAGGUAUUGUAGAGUAUUAACCUCUAUUGUGUAUGAUGCCCUGGUUGAGGUAUUGUUACAGUAUUUACUCUCUCUAUGGUGUAUGAUGCCCUGGUUGAGGUAUUGUUACAGUAUUUACUCUCUCUAUUGUGUAUGAUGCCCUGGUUGAGGUAUUGUUACAGUAUUUACUCUCUCUAUUGUUAGUAUGAGCCCUGGUUGAGGUAUUGUUAGAGUGUUUACUGUCUCUCUUUGUUUGCUGUAGUCUGCCGGUGGAGGG
rnacentral:lncRNA from 1 species